AUCUUUAGAAGAAUCCUGCAGACUUGGCCGUACACUAACGGAAUUAACAUGAACACGGUUUUAAAGAGUUUCCGGGAAGGUCUAAAAGCAGGUUUAUGCCUUAGAUUGAACAUAUGUCGAGCCGUCCAGAAGACAUCUACAGGAUGCCUCCAUGCCUUUUAUCUAAGCAAUUUAAAACAACACGUGCGCCCCCUGGUGACACAUUGUUACAUCCGGGUGAUAUAUUGAUAGCUCUGUAUUCUACUGCACCGAAUCCAUGGAGAUUGUGACUGAAAAUAAUGUAAUGAUGAUACAGUCAUGACGAAGCGAGCGUUUUUACUGGCGCUGAAGGAUGACCAACACUGGACCGCAGAUGGAAGAAGAUGAGCCGACAUCUAAGGCGUUCCAAAUGUCUCUGCAGCAAGCCUACAGACAUAGAUACAGCGUUCAAAGAAGGAUCAUUGAAACGUUCCGAUGUAAAAUGGCGAAACCACAAAAAAAAGAAGAAAAAUCCAUGCCUUGCACCUUGGCGCAAUCGCCUUACGUCAGUCGAUAUACAUGUAAGUAAGUGAUGUCGUCUGCUUAUAGAACACAACUUCAGUUGAUACAAGUAAGUGAUGUUGUCUGCUUAUAAAACACAACGUCAGUCGAUACAAGUAAGUGAUGUCAUCUGCUUAAAGAACACAACGUCAGUCGAUACAACUAAGUGAUGUCGUCUGCUUGAGCACAACGUCAGUCGAUACAACCAGUACGUCAAUGGCACAGUCUGUUUCCGGCGAAACUUACAGGUCACCCAGGGAAACAUCAGAUAGUCGAGCGCCCUCUAGUAAUCGUCCGCAUUUUCUGGGAAGAUGGUGAUACAGCGCCACCUGUAAGAGUGAGACAGACGUCGCAGUUGAACCUCGUGGAAAUCGUCUGCAGGCUUAACUUUUUAGCAAACUAGUACGUCAAUGCCACAGUCUGUUUCCGACAAAAACUAACAGGUCUUUCUGGGAAACAUCAGACGGCGGAGCGCCCUCUAGUCACAAGUAGUCGUCUGCGUUCCUGGGAAGAUGGUGAUACAGCGCCACCUAUAAGA
rnacentral:misc_RNA from 1 species